CCGAGCAGUUAUGGCAGUUGGGUUUGAUGAACACAGAUAUUGAACAGCCAGAAAAUAUUGAGGACAUUGAGGAGCCAGACAUUGACUGGGACAUUGCCACAGACCACGAUGGUGAGAUGGAAGGGGCGAUUGUGGUUCCUGAAAUUGAGUGUCCUUUGAGUGAGGAACAAAGUGAAGGUGUUCAGUCAUACAUUCAAGACAAUGACCCAGUUACGCCUGCAAGGGAACUGUACUUGCUAUGCCGUGAAUAUUUGUUUGGCACGGGUUAAUACUUACAAGGUUUGUAAAUAAAGAGAAUCAUGGAUA